AAAAGCAGGGGACCAGAUUAAAGCCAGAUCUGCCCCGUUCACAGUAUGAAGUGAGGGACAUGCAGCUAGCUUAGAACAAAAAGAGUGCAUAGAUGAGAAAGCUCACUCCUCUCUAUAGCUCUCAUCACCCCCAAAUGUUUUAUUCUCUCUUGAGCCAGUAUCAGAGCUCAGCUGAGGAGAACAGUUGUUGUUGUUUUUUUUUGGGGGGGGGGAGGACAGGGCCUUCUCUACUGUUAGGCAGCCAUCUCAGGUGGUGUAUGAGGGACUGCAUCAUGCUCCAGGUGAUUCCCUCAGGGACUGGGGUCCCAGCAUCAGAAGAUACAAGCAUUCACCAAAGAGGACAAAUCCAAAUUAAACAAGGUCAAGCAAAGAGAACCAGUCUGUCCAAACAUCAUCCAGAGACAAUCUCAGGAAACAGAACAUAAAGGUAUCAGUACCUGUACUGUUUCCAGCAACUGGGAGACUCGGAAGACAGGUCCUGGCUGUCUUAGAACAGACAUGAGAUUGAUAAAAGUAUGAAGCUGGCAAACUCCAAAUGCUUCUUCCUUCAAACAGCAAAAUGGAUGUGCUAAAUGGAGAUAAAUGUUUAUUAGUUUCCAAAAACAAAGAUAAUAAAAAAGAAAUAAAAGCAAUACGAACAUACACCACCACGAGAAAAACGGAAACGUCCACCUGCAACCAGCAAAAAGAAAAGAAAAACAACACAGCAAAGUACAAAAGAAAUAUACUAUAUACACAAUAAAAAAUUUUCACCUACAAUUUUACAUUGUCGUCUCUUUU